rnacentral:lncRNA from 1 species
CCAUGACAUAGCAUAAUUUGUAUUUCCUUUGAUUUUAUGACUUAUGCCAUGGAAUGCGUAUGAGAAGAACCCAUGACAUAGCAUAAUUGUGUAUUUUCUUUGGCUAAUGGCUUAGUAAUUUUAUGGCUCGCAUCAUGGAAUUCGUGAGAAAGAACCCAUGCACGAAAUGUAUUUUCAUGUCAUGGAAUUCAAAUGUAAGGAACCCAUGCGUAGAGCAUUUUAUGAAUUUUUUCACACAUGGC